rnacentral:lncRNA from 1 species
CUGAUUCAUCCAAUGCGAAAUAAUUUUCCAAACUAUGGAUUAAAAGCAAAAGUAACAGCAAACAUAUGGCAUUUUGUGGAGGAAAAUAAAUAAUCCAUCGUAUUGUAAACACCAUGCCAGCUAAUUCCAUGGACACGGAGCCGUGGAACUGAGUCAGAGAAGGAGUCCCGGGAGGACUGUUUUUGACGAUGCACAGGUGGGCCUAUCAAUCCUCAGCCUGUUUACAUGGCUGCCAGAUGUUCGACACCAUGACCACGAGAAAGCCUGCGAGGAGUUUGCAGAUGCCACAACUCCACUUAACAAAUGCGAGUCAUGCUCCCGCGGGCCAAUUUACACUGGUUAGUUGUGACACCCCCUCAAGGCUAACACUAAUUUCACUAACGAUUUUGGCGGUGGAAGCGAUGCUAGCUGUGACCUUGCAGCAGUGUAAUGAUAUUGUCGGUGACUACACAAGGCCACUGCAUGCUGUGACAUGGGCCUGGAUGGUGACAUCUUCUUCAAGCAACAUGACUAAAUACUGAGGCCUGCAGUGGUACCGGAAGCAAGGGCCUUACCUGGGAGUACAGCAACAGUCUUUCUCUCUCUGUCUUGCCAUUCUGUCAACGUGUAUUGUAUGUAACCACUUAAAUUCAUACGAACUGCUACACAAGCAAUCACUGACUUAUAUUCACUUUGUCUACUUGUCCCAUUCUUUAAUUUUGUCUGGUAUAUGUGUUUUAGUUGACACACCUGUGUGAUGUGUAUGAUAUACAUGAAUACUAAUGUAUUCACUCUGGACAUGAGACUUGCAUUUAUUUUAGACCUUUUGAAUCAUAAGCUCUAAGUGUAUUUGUCUGGAUGUUUAAGUUACCACUGAAGUUGGUAAAAAUGUAAAGAUCAAUGUAAAAAAUAUUCUAUGAAAAAGUUAUUGUUUUGUAAUCUUACAAUUGAAAAAUGAAAAAGAGCUGUUUAUACAAAA